CCUACGGGGGGCAGCAGUGAGGAAUAUUGGUCAAUGGACGAGAGUCUGAACCAGCCAAGUAGCGUGAAGGAUGACUGCCCUAUGGGUUGUAAACUUCUUUUAUAUGGGAAUAAAAUGUUCCACGUGUGGGAUUUUGUAUGUACCAUAUGAAUAAGGAUCGGCUAACUCCGUGCCAGCAGCCGCGGUAAUACGGAGGAUCCGAGCGUUAUCCGGAUUUAUUGGGUUUAAAGGGAGCGUAGGUGGAUUGUUAAGUCAGUUGUGAAAGUUUGCGGCUCAACCGUAAAAUUGCAGUUGAAACUGGCAGUCUUGAGUACAGUAGAGGUGGGCGGAAUUCGUGGUGUAGCGGUGAAAUGCUUAGAUAUCACGAAGAACUCCGAUUGCGAAGGCAGUUCACUGGACUGCAACUGACUCUGAGGCUCGAAAGUGUGGGUAUCAAACAGGAUUAGAUACCCUUGUAGUC
rnacentral:rRNA from 1 species